rnacentral:snRNA from 1 species
GUGCUCGCUUUGGCAGCACAUACACUACAAUUGGACCUAUACAGAGAAGAUUAGCAUGACCCCUGCACAAGGAUGACAUGCAAAUUCUUGACCUGUUCUGUAUUUAA